rnacentral:rRNA from 1 species
UUCCUACGGGUGGCUGCAGUGGGGAGUAUUGGACAAUGGGGGCAACCCUGAUCCAGCAAUGCCGCGUGGGUGAUGAAGGCCUUCGGGUUGUAAAGCCCUUUCGGCGGGGACGAUGAUGACGGUACCCGCAGAAGAAGCCCCGGCUAACUUCGUGCCAGCAGCCGCGGUAAUACGAAGGGGGCUAGCGUUGUUCGGAAUGACUGGGCGUAAAGGGCGCGUAGGCGGCGAUUUUAGUCAGGCGUGAAAGCCCUGGGCUUAACCUAGGAACUGCGUUUGAUACUGGAUCGCUUGAGUGUGGGAGAGGAUGGUGGAAUUCCCAGUGUAGAGGUGAAAUUCGUAGAUAUUGGGAAGAACACCGGUGGCGAAGGCGGCCAUCUGGACCACUACUGACGCUGAGGCGCGAAAGCGUGGGGAGCAAACAGGAUUAGAUACCCGUGUAGUCU